GCUUUUCUCACCAAGACCCGACCGCCCUCAACACGAUAGGCCCCUGCAUGAUUGGCCUCACUGCAAGGUUUCCUGCACAGCCGGUGGUUUGCUGUCUCACUCCAUGGAGCCAAAAUGUGAAGAGUGAAUAAGGAGCACGGGUGCCAUUCGACUGCAGAUCAAAAACACAUCAGGCGGCGCACGGAUGACAAACAGUCAAAACAGAACCUGAUCUCAGGGUUGUAAGGCUGACACGCUAAUAUGCCUCGCAGUCAAGAAAUCACGGUUCCAAUCGCGGUUGGAACAUCUCAGUGUGGAGUUAGCGUGUUCUCACCUUGCGGCUUCCUUCCAUGUCCCAAAAAGAAGCUCUUUCUGUGGAGUGAAGGGUCACAGGAGUUCUGGUGCCUAUCCCAGCUGUCCUCGGGCAGGAGGCAGGGUACACCCUGAACCGGUUGCCAGCCAAUCGCAGGGCACAAGGAGACAGACAACAGCCACACUCACAAUCACACCUAGGGGCAAUUUAGAGUGUCCAAUUCAUAUUGCAUGUUUUUGGGAUGCUGGAGGAAACCAGAGUGUCCAGAGAAAACCCAUGCAGACACAGGGAGAACAUACAAACGCCACACAGGCAGGUCCAUGAUUGAACCUGGUACCUCAGAACUGUGAGGCCAACGCUUUACCAGCUGAGUCAGCGUGCCGCCCUAUAAAAUAACAUCUUGUAUUUAUUUGAGAAUAAACAACAAAACAA